rnacentral:rRNA from 1 species
AUGGAGAGGGUGGAGCGAUUCCUGGGCUGCCCGACGGGCACAUAUCCUUGCAAGUACCUUGGCCUCCCGCUAUCAAUAAGGAAGCAAACGUCGACUCAGCUUAUGGGUCUUGUGGACCGCCUUGCGCGCAAGUUACCAACUUGGAGGGCUGCCUCUAUGCCUAAGAGCGGACGCUUAUUGUUAAUCAAAUCGGUCCUUUGUGCCACACCGAUUCAUGCGAUGAUGGUGCUUGACAUCCCUCAGAAAGUGAUCAAGGCCAUGGUGAAAAUCUGCAGAGGGUUCCUUUGGUGUGCACGAGAGAGCGCGAAUGGUGGCCAUUGUAGAGUGGCCUGGGAGGCUGUGUGUGCGCCUAAGUGGGCGGGAGGCCUGGGCCUGCCCAACCUCCGAUGGCUGAACAUUGCCAUUCAAUCUAGAUGGCUAUGGCUCCAGCAUAUUGAUCAAUCUAGACCGUGGGCUGAAUUCCAGAUAGCAGUCCCGGAGGAGUCCAGGCAGCUCUUCAGGGCCGUGGCAAAAACGGUGGUUGGCAAUGGCUUGAGGGCUUGCUUCUGGGAAGACCGGUGGCUCGAUGGCUUUACAGUUCAGGACGUGGCCCCGUCCAUAUACGCCAUCGUUGCACCUAGCGCGUGA